GGUUAUUAUAGUGCAACGAAAACCUUCGGUAGAGGAACAAAACUUGUCGUCACAGAUAAAAGUUUUAACAUAGACACUUCCCCCAAGCCCACUAUGUUUCUUCCUUCAAUUACUGAAAUAGAUCUCCAUAAGACUGGGACAUACCUUUGUCUGCUGGAAAAUUUUUUCCCUGAAGAUAUUAAGGUAUAUUGGAAAGAAAAAGAUAGCAAUACGAUUCUUAAGUCCCAGCAGGGAGACACCAUGAAAACUAAAGACACCUACAUGAAGUUUAGCUGGCUAACAGUGACUGGAAAUUCAAUGGCUAAAGAGCACAGAUGUAUCGUCAAACAUGAGAAAAACAAAGGAGGAGUUGAAAAUGAGAUUCUCUUUCCUUCAAUAAAUACAGUUGUUCACACUAUUAAUUCCAGAAAAGCUGGAUCGCAAGAUAAAAAUGCUGUUGCCACUAUUAAUCCCAUGGAAGCCAAUCUGAAAGAUGAAAUUGCUGUCAAUAUUACUGAACAAGGUGAUCCCUUGAAAGAUGCAAAUGGUUUGCUGAGCCUGCAGCUCACCAAUACCUCUGCCUACUACACCUACCUCCUGCUGAUGCUCAAGAGCGCCCUCUAUGGGGCCCUAGUCACCUUCUGUCUGUGCAGAAUGUCAGCUGUCUGCUGCAACGUAAAGACCACCUGACAGAUGGAGGCUCAUGGGACCAUUACAUCUCUACCAUUCGUUCCUGUCCCAAGCAGGAUCUGCUGCGGGUCUACCAAGCUCUCUGGGCUCAAGAUUCUAAAGAUUACAUGCGCAUUAUUCUGUCAUUAUACCACAAGGGUUUCCCAAAAAGUGGGCAAACUCCACGACUUCCCUCUGUCAUAGCAAGGCUUAACCCACGGGGGCCCUGAGUCCCAUCCCUCCACAGUCCCCACAACCCCUCCAGCCAGUCCAGGUCCUCAUAGCCUCGGUGUGCUCAGCUCGAUGCUUCUGGUCAGGGUCACCCCUGGAGACCUCCAUUCAACCCACCCUGACAUGGUCUUCUUUGAGAUUGAACUAUGCUUUGAUGUUCAUAAUAGACACAAUAAAAAACAUGCCAAAAGUCUUCACUG